rfam:Cylindrospermum stagnale PCC 7417 plasmid pCYLST.02, complete sequence.
UUUAAGGAUUUUCUCAAAUCCACAAUCAUUACAAUGGUGAUAGGU